UUCGUAUGCUGAUGAGGGAGCGGUUUGGGGUUUACUGGCCUGGUUGGAAAUGAUUUAGGGCGACACCGGGGCUCUGAGGCUUUAUGCCGCCGGGGGCUCGUAUAUCACCCUGAUCAUUAAUCAAUUAGCGUCUCCGAGCCACCUGUCGGACACGUCGCCGCACAAAACAUUCCUGCCCUCGGGCUGUUGCUAGACGAUGAUCAUCAGCAGCACCACUAUUACCUUCCAGCCCCCCCCCCCCUUAUGGUAAUACCCUGAUGGAUUACAUAAUCACUGUGGGCAGUAAAUGCAGCCGUCUCCACCGCGGCACUGACGGCCGUUUGGUAUUGAUCACAUGAGCUUCUCCGUCCGGCCGUCUUUUAUCACAAAUUGUCCGUGUGGGAUAGAAGUUUCUGGAAGUUCCGUUCCACUUUUGGUGGUCCGGGUUGCUGGAGAGCUCCAUCAGGCUUUGUUGAUCUCGCGUAACCACUCGAGACGCCGCGCGGCGAUUAAAUAAAUAAGGCCGAGCUCCGUUAAAAAAAAAAAAAAAAAAGAAAAAAAACCUGCUUGAAAUACCGUUUCUUUAAAUGAAGAUUUGCAUGUAAGUUUGAACUCUCGCUGCCACUAGAAAAUCUGUUCCUCGCAGCUCUGCUUCCCCCACAAAAAGCAUUUUUCACCCUUUUUGUGUUAUUUGGAACGAAUUCUUAAAAGCAGCUGGAGAGAAAAGUGGCACCAAAGUUGGAGCCUAAUCCGCCAACCCUCAACACGGGGACACGGAGCGGGUAGAUUUGUCACGCCUCGAUGUGGCAGUGUUCUUUCAUUACAGAAGCGGCGCUCUUCACGCAGCUUAGCCAAACCAAACGGCUCAAUCGGCCUCGUGAGGAAGGUCUACGAGGAAGAGGACGCAGCGAGGCUCCUAUCUGCGAAGCCAGAAAAGCCCAGUUGGUCCUACCUGUGCUCCGCUCUUAAGGGAAAAAUGGACACUUUCAAUCACAAAGGGAUUGGAGGGUAAAAGCCGCACGCCGUGUGUGCAAAGUGUGUAACAAAGUUCCCUUUUUUCUCCAAUUCUCUUUCGUCUUUUAAAGCCAACCGGUCCAGGAAAGAAGCCAGAUGCCGACAUCAUCAGGUGGAUUUUCAAAAGAACAAAAGAUCCUCUGCGAUUCUUUUCACUGCCAUUUCAUGCAGCGUAGACCCUCACUACGUGUGUGUGUGUGUGUGUGUGUGUGUGUGUGUGCGCGUUAACACCGCCCUGUCAUUGGUAUUUCAACCAAAUUAAUUCCCUCACACUUUCUUCUACUUACUCAAAGUGACGUCCCAGAAACCAACUGAAGCUGACAACAUAUCAGAUGUGGCUCAUCGUAUCUGAUCACAUUGACAUGAACGUAUCGAAACGGCCGAAUGUGACGAACAGAUAUUUCUGGAGAGAUAAAAAGGUUAAAGAAUGUCAAAGUGCAUAAAAACACAACAACAUAACUGCAGCCUGAGCGCGAUGAAGGCGAUGCACAUGGCACACAGGCAGGGGGGGGUGACGGGGCAAAGGCCUGACCUGUGGGGGUCAAAAGGGUGUGAGGAGCAUUUAUCACAGCUAGCUUCCCUGGGAGCCGGCCGGGGCCCACCGCUACCACCCAGAUGCCUUCAUGACAAAGACAAACACUGGAAUCCCUAAGUGGAAAAACAUGGCGUGCUGGCACACGGCGGGCCGCGGCGAGACGUUACAUCGUGCGGACGGUUUAAUGAGCGCGGCCUGGACCCGAUCAAAAGUCGGAGUGUCCGCCGCAGCCGAACAGAAGAGGCUGUAUUUCACGCUUCGCGGGAGCCGGUCCACUCAUCCGCGGAAAACAGCGGCUGGAGGACGGAGGUCCCGUGGAAGGUUCCCCCCGUGGGGGGGGGGGGGGGACAAAGACGCAAUUGAGAGCACGGGACCAGAUCCGGCGACCCGGGACUCGUAAAAAAAAAACAGCCCCUCAGGGGAACUGCCCCCCGCCGCCAGCGGUCGAAGACGCCCGGCAGCUCCGGCAUUGUUUUUUCCGGCGCCCUGGACAAGCGGAGCGGGGUGGGAGUGGGCUCCGCGGGCCAGGCGCCAGCCGGGGGACAAAAACGCGCUGUUGUGCCGGGGAGGAACAAUCGCGACGCCGCUCACGCAACGCGCUCUCGUCAAAGUGGAGACGGCGGUCCGCUUUUGCAUGAAAGACGCACACAGCCUCCUCGUGACUCGUCGCAUUGCAUUGAAAGCGAGACAAUGACUCGAAGUGAGACCGAACGCUAAUUAGAGGUCGGCAUCCCGUCCCACAUCGCCGACGCACCGAGACGAUCGACUCGCUGUCAGACGCUCUCACGAGGUCCCGAGAAUCCCAAGCCCUCAAAGCGCUCGUUAAACCAAAUAAACACCCAGCAUGCACCUCCCUUUCUACCACCGCAGACCAGCACGAGCAGCAGAGACCACGCGGCUUCGACGUACAUUCGCACCGACAGCGACUUGAACCCUCCUUCAACAACCCGACGAAGCGGCGCCGAGCUGUUUCCAGUCCGCCCGUAACGAGCGGAUGACAGCAGCCGCGCGCCCGGUGCCGAGAGGAGCGAGCACCACGCAGACGGGCCGUCAUCGCCGGCGCUCUCCUGCUCUUCGUUAGGGAGUGGACAGAAACACAACAGGCACUUCUACAACUUCACACUUCCAGACGCAACGCGAGCAGCCGCCGCCGCAGGUGCAACAACGGGCCGAGCGCCGAGAGGUCUGCAGAGCAUUUUCUCCUCGAUUUCCACAUUCCUACUGGCCGCGUUGGGCCCUCGCGCUGGAAGCGGGGCGAGCGGGUGGGGGGAGGGGGGGGGUCUGCUCCACAUUCAGAGGCACAGCUGGUAUUUCACCGAUUAACUGGGGCCUCUUUAUUGAUCUCAUGCAGCGACGGUUACUUAACAUGGUCCUAUGUAGCUCUGUAGUCAAGUCCAUGUUAAUUGCGAUAAGAAAAUCCCUCUAAGAGAGCGUUUGCUGCUGGUUCUCAUGUACACGCACACACACACUUUGGUUAUGGAACCUUUGGAAUCAUGGCCAUUGAUGCAUUUUUUAUAGAUUGUAUUAGAACUUUGUUUCUCAUAAUCCGUGUGAACGCGUUCACCCUCGACGCCCAACAUUGCAUUCGCAAGGAAGUGAAUCGCAAAACAGCAUUAACCCAUUUACAGCAGUUACGGUUAUUUUAAAUACAAAAAGCAAAGUCAAUUUGUGUUUGAAAAAAGAGCCGGUUGUAUUUCAGUGUCUGCAGGUGAUAAAUGCCUCUAAUGUGCUGAACUCAGCAUCUUGUCCUUACGGUGGAUGAGGAGUCUCGAUGCAUAUCUGCUCGCCGCAUCAGCCGCACACUUGUUUUCUCUGUGGACAGCACACGAAAAAAUACAGGCCGACGACAACAGUGAUUCACCAUGUUUACUUUGAACAAAGCGACUUCGCGUAUCCCAUCAUGCAAAAAAAGAAAAAGAAGAAAAUCCCAAAGUUCGGACAACAACAAGGCCAAAGAGGGGAGUGGAAACGGGACAAAGAAGACUCUUGAUGUGUGACUGCGAGGUCGUCCAGGACGCGCAGAGACGCCUCCUGGAUCACAGUCAACACAUUUCACCCGCGGGUCUUCCACCUUCAUUUAGAUGAAUAUGGACCUCCUCGAGAGGAAAUAAAGCCAUUUUGAACCCCCCCCCCUCGACAACGAGUCGGCCGUCCAUAAUGUGCCCCGUCAAUGGACUGUGGGUUUAUUCAACUGCAGGCCGCCCCCAGCACAGCCAUAAAUAACAUAGGGCAGCUCACAUGAAACCCUAAUCACCAUUGUGCUGUCACCCAACAGACAAGACUGCUUGUUUAAUUUACUGCAGCGCAUCGGUCUCAGUUCUGCCCAAUUUGGUUUCACAAUUCCAAUGGCCAAGUACUCCUGGUGUAUAUUUAUCAGUGUGCUUUUCACCCAAAAGCCAUGAAUUAAUAAGAAGGCAACGUCUGUGUCUCCGGGUCGGCGUGCACGUGCUCGUUUUGGCGCGACGGUAAGUGGGCGUGUCACAAAAUAAAUAAAUAACGAAUGCCAUUGACACUUAAUAACCCCCGGGCUCAUUAUUGGCUGUAUACGACACACUUUAUUAUUAAAUUACCACCCCAUUAGCAUGCAGACAUUUGCAUAUUGCAGUCACUGCUUACAGAGGCAGUAGAUCAUAAGUGGCAGCCAUAUGCUGCCUAGUGUGCCAUCUUACAGAAUUAUUACUGCGACACAAAAAGCCGAAAGGAAAAUGGAAAUCUCCUUGACACCAAAAAGAAAUGAAAAAGAAGAAGAAAAAAAAGAAAAGGCAAAAGGAUCUGCCGUUAUUUAUGUCACAGUCGGUCUGACGGAACGAUCAUUUACACCCUCCAGAGACGCUUCCCCGCAGACGAAGAUCCACGGGCCGCUCAGGUGGGACCACCUGCCGCUUUCCUCCCACGAUACACGCAGAACACCAACGGCAAACAACAAUGCAUGGACCAUGACUUACUGGGGGGGGGGGGGUUCAGCUUGACGUCCCCCCGGCUGCAAAUACCGCUCCGGUUUUCAUGGAUUAUUGUUCUAACCUGAGGUUGAUCGUUUUAUCGAAGUAAUAAUAGUUUUUGGGGACAAAAAAUACCAAAAAUGCAGCUUCUCCAAUGUGAAUAUUUUCUACUUUUCUCACUGUUUAUCAUUACAAAUGGAAUACAUUUGGGUUUUGGACAGGAGGACAAUAAACAACAAAUUGGAAAAAUAAUAUGUUCAGUUCAGUUGAAACCUGAGAAAACUUGUUUUAACUACUCUACCAUUUUCAAAUGAAUAAAUGAGACUAAAAUUAUAGGUUAAAUUACAUGAAAAAUACAGGUUUGGUUCAGCUGGACAACCAACCAAAAAUCCCAGCCGGGUACGGACACAUCUGGCCCAGAGCCACGCUGCUUUCAUCGAGCGCCGUUUAAGGACGUCCAAGCGACAGCGGCCAUCCGGCUCGUGGCAGCAGAGGGUUAACUUGGCAGCUCGGCUGUUCAGUGCAGCUCUUAAAAAGAAUAUUAACGGCACGUCCCUCGGUGCAGACGGCGCAACAGGAAAAGGGAGGAGAAAGGCGGGGAUGGAGGGAGAGAAAGGCGAGCAGCAGAGCGGGGUGGGUGUGUGCCAUUCCAAUUCUUCAGCGACUCUGCGCUCAGGAUUACUGUUUCGGGGAAGGAACAUAUCAUCUGUCAAAGUUAAUGGCAGGGUCCCAGGGAAAAGGAAGGAAAAAUAGAACGGAGACCAAUCAUUAGGAAGGAGGCUGAUGGGGGAGGCGGAGGCGGUUGAAUCCAACGGUCUUCUCCGCCGUCUCCCCGGGAAAAUAAAUAUACACUUAAGGGCCUCACACUUAAAAGAGAUAAUAUUAUUAUUAAAAAGGGCCCGAGCGUGGAGCCGUCGUCUGGGACAAACGAGGUCGGACUGGCGUCCCGGCCGGCCAACAGGCCCGGCCAGCCCGUCUCUCACUCAGAGCUGUGGAUGUACUCCGGAGAAGCAAUUGAUACCAUUGUUUUAUGGAGAGGAGGGCGGAGGGGGAUUAACAAACCAACAAUCGGGUUCUUUCACUGCAAAUGUCAGCCGUCACGCCGGGGAACCGUCCGACUGGGCAGAGAAAAAAGCCAAGUUGCGAAAUGGAGUGUGGAAAAAUAGUAUGAAACCCCUGUGACGAGGGAAAGGAAGCAGUGUGACGUGCUCCAGAACAUUCCCGUGCCAAUUGGUAGAAUGCAACCUCAAACAGGCGAGGGGGGGGGCGCUACAAACACACAUCAUGUGAGAUCAAGUCAAACAGGGACACAAGGCUUUCAAUUUGUUGUUAAAUGCUGUGUGUGUGUGUGUGUCUGUGUGUGUUGUCUUGAGGAUGUGAUCGUUGAAAGAAAGGCAGCACAACUUCAUUCCAAGGAUUCCAAGGUCCACCAAAACACGCGGCGGCUGGAAACACAUCAAUAACCAGGAUAAUAGGUUAUGUGGGUCUUUAGCGCGGCCUCAUUAGGAGAAAAAAAAGAGGAGACAAACCGUGGCCUGAUUCCUCAGGCAAAUUAACACAGUGAGGAAACCUAAAAUAUCACAAACGACGAUCCGUCCUGGGACGUUUCAUCAUGGGACUUACAGCGGAGCGAAACAAAGCUUUGAUAACCCCCCCCUGGCGUUGGACCUCUUUGAAAAAUCGGGUGAAUAUCAAGGGCUGAACAAAGGUACCCUGGGUGAAUAUCAAGGGCUGAACAAAAGGUACCCUGGGUGAAUAUCAAGGGUUGAACAGAGGUGCCCUGGGUGAAUAUUAAGGGUUGAACCAAGGUACCCUGGGUGAAUAUUAAGGGUUGAACCAAGGUACCCUGGGUGAAUAUUAAGGGUUGAACCAAGGUACCCUGGGUGAAUAUCAAUCAGGAAACAUUUAUUCUCAUAAUAUGUCAGACAUACAAGGAAUUUGACUUGGCGGGUUGAACCGAGGUACCCUGCCGCUUUAAGGCCAAGAUGAAGCAGCGCUUCUCCCACACUGACCUAAUUGCUCUCUCGCUCUCCCAACGUGAACACUGGCAGCCGUGCACUCUGACAUGUAAAGAUUGUUUAAUACCAUCAAAGCCAUAAAGAGGAGGAAUAAAAAGCAGCGAGGGGAAAAAACAGAGAAGGGGGGGGGGUGUAACACACGCGUGGGCAGUCCAGAGAGGCUGCGUGGAAGAACAGCUGAAGGAGAAUCAGUAUGCGAAGGCGGGCGCCCGUCUAACUGCCGCCGGCCGGCGCGUGUGGAGCUCCGCACGCCCCAACAUCACAGCCCCCCCCCCCCCACAGAAAGAUCCCACUGGGCUUCAGCUACGCUCCCGGUCUCGGCUCCCACCCUUCUUUUUCCCACACUCGCCCCGGUCCCUAGAAGGCAGCGACUACGUCAUCGGGCACCACUGCCAAACCGCUGUAAUGUCCCAGUUGAGUUCUACCGGUUCUAACAGAGCCUCAUUUAGGCCCAGGCUGGUUUUAUCACGGUUAGGCUACACUGGCCUUCAUUUUUAGAAGUAACCCUAAUAGGGAUUGGGCCAAAGACUUCCAACGAGCGGAGCUAUUCUUAACGGUGGUGGAGUGGUGAACAAAUCAAAACAAAGCGUAAAAAGAUAGCCCACUUUUUCUUGCCCCCCCCCUUAUUUACAGUAAGUGAAACUAAUUAUUUCACAAUAAUUACUUCCUAAACCAGACAGCCGCUCCUUUCCAGUGUCAUUCACACAGGACUUUACAAUCUGAGGAGAAAGGAGAUGUUCUGAGCUUUUCUGUUUUAAAUAUAUUACUCCAAGAAACAGUACUAAAUCAUUCCUGGUCCAGGAGGCGGCGGCGUGAGAAAAAUCCCAGCUGUCAACAAUGAUUUGAAGUUGUCAUUUCUCCAUAACUUCCUCAUUACGUUAGAUCUUACGAGGGUUAGUUUGAGGUGGGGUUGCAAUAGGCACUAAUCCACGGAAUAACAAUCCAAAUUAACCUUUUCAAUAUAAGUUAACCCUGGGCCUACGUUUUUGAGUGGCUACGAUGCGGCUUUCUGCAGCAGCAUUGCUUUGCUUCCUGGUACUCUCGUCAUGCUGACCACCGUCUGCCGUAGAAAAUACACCGCAGGUACCGCAUACUACUUCAAAAACACCCAAACAUGACCUUAAUACAUGAGAUCUAUUACGAAUGGCGACAUCGUAGCGCUUUGAUAACCCGCUUCCAACUACUGAGAGAGGGACGGUAUUUUUAGAACUCAGUGACAUGGGAUCUGGUAUCACCAGACAUCCAAAAGGUUAUUAGCUAAAUCACUUUAGUUGUGUUGAGCGCAAGCCUCCCAAAUUACAUCUAACCGUGAAUCACAAGAGACGGGAGGCGGCGAGGUGGGGAAACCCUCCGACACUCCGAAUUCCCCGCUUUGUGUCUCAGCCUCUAACGCAUCUCGCCCUGAAUGUCACAGGUUGUCACGCGAAAGGGCAUCAUUUUCCUCCUCUUCUUCCUCCUCCAGCCCCACCCCACAACAACAACAACAACAACAACCAAAAACAUGUCUGCACUGCAAAGUCUGCAGCCAGUUUUAUGUUUUAAGUUGAGCGAGGCGCACUAAACCUUCGGCGUCAUAAAAGACCGUUCAACAGGCGCUUCACUGGAACAGAGAGGAACCGUGUAGACAGUGGACGCAGAGGAUUGCGCAAUGUGAUCUGCGGAUGCAAUCCGUGGUUUCACGAGACGACCUUUUGCAAGUUCUCGCGGGCCGCCGCGUGCGCAGCGCGGCCGUGACAUUUUGAAUGUGCCGACAUCCGGACACCUCGGACCGCCGCGUUAUCUUGACACGGGUUAAUCGGGGGUGUCGACAAAUUAGUGGGAGAGAGAAAAGAGAGAGAGAGAGAGGGAGAGGAAGAGGGAGCGUUUUGGGUCACCGGGCUCCGCGGUGUUCGAUCCCCGCCGACUGUGGAUGCCCCACUGCGUCGGACGCGCGCGUCCCUCCGCACCCGGUUGUGAAGCUCAAGCGACGUGGAUGUCGAAUCAGCGGCAGCCCUCACGGGCGUCACGACCACUGAGUAAAACGUCACUCGGACGUACACCAUUAGCCGUGGCGCAUUCACCCCCCCCAUGCUGUCACAUGUUGACAAGCUGUCAGCGGCGGGUGCACGGUGUUACCUGUGGACGCGGUUACCUGUGGACCUGUUGGCUCCUCCCCCCUGG
ensembl:lncRNA